AUGCAUGGCGCCUAUGUGGGGGGUCAUGGUGGUCAUGAGGCUUCAAUAUGUACAGCCAUAACACAUCCAGAACAAGUUAAAAAGUUCCAUGCAAUGGUAGCUCAUGUAGACUAAUGAAACAAUGCCCUGCAAGGCCCGAUAGAUCUUGAAAAAGAAUAUAACGAGUAAGUGCUCUCUGAUUGAUCUUUUGUUUUCCCAUAUAUGUAUUCAUCUGU
rnacentral:lncRNA from 1 species